GUACACACCGCCCGUCACACCAUGGGAGUAGGUAAUGCCCGAAGUCGGUGACCUAACCGGAAGGAAGGAGCCGCCGAAGGCAGGACUUAUAACUGAGGUGAAGUCGUAACAAGGUACC
rnacentral:rRNA from 1 species